rnacentral:rRNA from 1 species
GAUGAACGCUGGCGGCGUGCCUAAUACAUGCAAGUCGAGCGAACAGACGAGGAGCUUGCUCCUCUGACGUUAGCGGCGGACGGGUGAGUAACACGUGGAUAACCUACCUAUAAGACUGGGAUAACUUCGGGAAACCGGAGCUAAUACCGGAUAAUAUAUUGAACCGCAUGGUUCAAUAGUGAAAGACGGUUUUGCUGUCACUUAUAGAUGGAUCCGCGCCGCAUUAGCUAGUUGGUAAGGUAACGGCUUACCAAGGCAACGAUGCGUAGCCGACCUGAGAGGGUGAUAGGCGACACUGGAACUGAGAGACGGUCCAGACUCCUACGGGAGGCAGCAGUAGGGAAUCUUCCGCAAUGGGCGAAAGCCUGACGGAGCAACGCCGCGUGAGUGAUGAAGGUCUUCGGAUCGUAAAACUCUGUUAUUAGGGAAGAACAAAUGUGUAAGUAACUAUGCACGUCUUGACGGUACCUAAUCAGAAAGCCACGGCUAACUACGUG